rnacentral:rRNA from 1 species
GACGAACGCUGGCGGCGUGCUUAACACAUGCAAGUCGAACGGAAAGGCCCUGCUUUUGUGGGGUGCUCGAGUGGCGAACGGGUGAGUAACACGUGAGUAACCUGCCCUUGACUUUGGGAUAACUUCAGGAAACUGGGGCUAAUACCGGAUAGGAGCUCCUGCUGCAUGGUGGGGGUUGGAAAGUUUCGGCGGUUGGGGAUGGACUCGCGGCUUAUCAGCUUGUUGGUGGGGUAGUGGCUUACCAAGGCUUUGACGGGUAGCCGGCCUGAGAGGGUGACCGGCCACAUUGGGACUGAGAUACGGCCCAGACUCCUACGGGAGGCAGCAGUGGGGAAUAUUGCACAAUGGGCGGAAGUCUGAUGCAGCAACGCCGCGUGCGGGAUGACGGCCUUCGUGUUGUAAACCGCUUUCGCCUGUGACGAAGCGUGAGUGACGGUAAUGGGUAAAGAAGCACCGGCUAACUACGUG